AGCACUGUGUGGCUCAGGGCAGGUCAUCAGCUGCUUUCCUGUUCCUCAAGCACUGAUUCACCGACUUGUCACACAACAGAUUUACUGAGCAGCUACUAUGUACCCAGUGCUGGGCUAGCUCUUGGGAACACCAUAACCCCCCUCUUGUCUCGUGAGGCAGAGAGAGAUGCAUACCCGACCAAUUGUAAUGCUAUGUGCUAACUUCACAAGGGGCAUAAGCGUGGGAGACUCUAGGUGCAAAAGAGGAGGAGCCAAUCCUCCCUGGGGGCCAGGAAAUCUGAGGCUGAGGGGUCUGGGACUGGUGCUGACCUGCCAGUGGACUCUGGCUGUUCAGAUAAACCAAGAGUCUUGAGGCCAAAGGGGAUGUAUGGAGGGACAGUGGCCUCCCGCCUGCCCAUCCUCCAACCUCCCCUGGUGGACCUGGCAGCUAACCCCAGGCCUCUUACACCAGCCAAGUGUGGGGAGGCCACCCAGGCCAUGGGGAGAGCCUUGGCAGCCUGUGGACAGCCAGGCUGGAGGCCUGCUGGGCAGCUCUGCUAAUUACAGUGACGAAUGGGUUUAAUUUACUUGGAGAGAGUAAUGUGCGUCACUCUGUUGUCACAGCUCAGCUCCAAGGCCUCCUCCCCACCCAGGUGCCACCCGGCUCUUGUGGUCUCCCGGUGGUGGCCCAGCCCAUCUCCAUGUCGGCGUGGGGCCUGUCUGUCACACUGCUGGCGGUGAAGGGAGCAGCUCUCCUGUCCUGCUAGACAGCCAUGGGGCCACGCUGGCCAGGGAAGGCGGAGGGAGCCCCCGCACACCACAGGGAGCCCUGCCUCCCCACCUGCCUCUGCCUCAUCAAAGGCGGCAGUGGCCUCCAGCGAAGUCAUGUCAUGUGGUUCCCGGCUUCCCGGCCACCUCGGGCUCUGGAAGGGGACAGGACCUUCCCGGGUGCUCUUUGUGGGAUGAAGGCCUAUUGUCCAUCUUCUGUGCCUCACCCGCAGGUGACUGUGGAUCUGGUGCUUUCCCCCCCAGACCUUGUGUGUCUUCCUUCUCAGCUGUGCUCCCAGGUGACGUCUGUGGUGACAGGGGCCUGGCUCAGUGCAUCCGUCUGCUGGAGGACCAUGUUAAGGCUGGACUGCGCCUGCUCUGGUCCUCGUGUCCAGGGAUGGCUUCAAGCUUCGACUCGGGCUUCCUUGACCACUGUCCUCUUCCUGGUGCUUCCAGCAGAGGGUGGGGGGCAGAACAUCCCCAGGAUUGAUGGAGCCUCCUGGAGUCUGACUGGACCCUCCCUCUGCGCCCAG
rnacentral:lncRNA from 1 species